AGCCGAGCGGUAUUUCUUCUUCGGAAGAGAGAGAGCGGCGUACGGGUGCGUAACACGUGUGCAACCUACCUUUAUCUGGGGGAUAGCCUUUCGAAAGGAAGAUUAAUACCCCAUAAUAUAAUUGAUGGCAUCAUUGAUUAUUGAAAACUCCGGUGGAUAGAGAUGGGCACGCGCAAGAUUAGAUAGUUGGUGAGGUAACGGCUCACCAAGUCUGUGAUCUUUAGGGGUCCUGAGAGGGAGAUCCCCCACACUGGUACUGAGACACGGACCAGACUCCUACGGGAGGCAGCAGUGAGGAAUAUUGGACAAUGGGUGAAAGCCUGAUCCAGCCAUCCCGCGUGAAGGAUGACGGUCCUAUGGAUUGUAAACUUCUUUUGUACAGGGAUAAACCUACUCUCGUGAGGGUAGCUGAAGGUACUGUACGAAUAAGCACCGGCUAACUCCGUGCCAGCAGCCGCGGUAAUACGGAGGGUGCAAGCGUUAUCCGGAUUUAUUGGGUUUAAAGGGUCCGUAGGCGGACCUGUAAGUCAGUGGUGAAAUCUCAUAGCUUAACUAUGAAACUGCCAUUGAUACUGCGGGUCUUGAGUAAAUUUGAAGUGGCUGGAAUAAGUAGUGUAGCGGUGAAAUGCAUAGAUAUUACUUAGAACACCAAUUGCGAAGGCAGGUCACUAAGAUUUAACUGACGCUGAUGGACGAAAGCGUGGGUAGCGAACAGGAUUAGAUACCCUGGUAGUCCACGCCGUAAACGAUGCUAACUCGUUUUUGGAUUUUCGGAUUCAGAGACCAAGCGAAAGUGAUAAGUUAGCCACCUGGGGAGUACGUCCGCAAGGAUGAAACUCAAAGGAAUUGACGGGGGCCCGCACAAGCGGUGGAUUAUGUGGUUUAAUUCGAUGAUACGCGAGGAACCUUACCAAGACUUAAAUGGGAAUUGACAGGUUUAGAAAUAGACCCUUCUUCGGACAAUUUUCAAGGUGCUGCAUGGUUGUCGUCAGCUCGUGCCCUGAGGUGUUAGGUUAAGUCCUGCAACGAGCGCAACCCCUGUCACUAGUUGCUAACAUUUAGUUGAGGACUCUAGUGAGACUGCCUACGCAAGUAGAGAGGAAGGUGGGGAUGACGUCAAAUCAUCACGGCCCUUACGUCUUGGGCCACCACGUAAUACAAUGGCCGGUACAGAGGGCAGCUACCAGGUGACUGGAUGCAAAUCUCGAAAGCCGGUCUCAGUUCGGAUUGGA
rnacentral:rRNA from 1 species